rnacentral:tRNA from 1 species
GAAAAUUUAGUUAAUAUAUAACAUUAAUUUGUCAAAUUAAAAUAAAAUUUAAAUUUAAUUUUCU